UUCGUGUUCAACCUCUUGUUGCUGAUUGUAUUGGUAGUAGAAAUAGAUUCCUCUGCCUUCCUUGUUUUCACCAUCCUCAACGUCCAUGGACACCACCGGGUUUUGGUUUGGUUGACGGAGGUUUUGGGUCGACGAUGAUGAGAUUCCGCUGACUCCUUCUUCGUUCAGGAUCGCACUUGUGUCACUGUCUGAAGAACCAUCUUUGUAUAUCAGUGGCGGG
rnacentral:lncRNA from 1 species